rnacentral:rRNA from 1 species
GACGAACGCUGGCGGCGUGCUUAACACAUGCAAGUCGAACGGAAAGGCCCUGCUUUUGUGGGGUGCUCGAGUGGCGAACGGGUGAGUAACACGUGAGUAACCUGCCCUUGACUUUGGGAUAACUUCAGGAAACUGGGGCUAAUACCGGAUAGGAGCUCCUGCUGCAUGGUGGGGGUUGGAAAGUUUCGGCGGUUGGGGAUGGACUCGCGGCUUAUCAGCUUGUUGGUGGGGUAGUGGCUUACCAAGGCUUUGACGGGUAGCCGGCCUGAGAGGGUGACCGGCCACAUUGGGACUGAGAUACGGCCCAGACUCCUACGGGAGGCAACAGUGGGGAAUAUUGCACAAUGGGCGGAAGCCUGAUGCAGCAACGCCGCGUGCGGGAUAACGGCCUUCGGGUUGUAAACCGCUUUCGCCUGUGACGAAGCGUGAGUGACGGUAAUGGGUAAAGAAGCACCGGCUAACUACGUG